CUCCGGUUGAUCCUGCCGGACCCGACUGCUAUCAGAGUGAGAUUAAGCCAUGCGAGUUAACGUAGCAAUACGUGGCGCACGGCUCAGUAACACGUAGUCAACAUGCCCAGAGGACGUGGAUAACCUCGGGAAACUGAGUCUAAACCGCGAUAAGUGAGGAUUUCUGGAAUGGUUCCUGACUAAAAUCUAUAUGGCCUCUGGAUUGGACUGCGGCCGAUCAGGCUGUUGGUGAGGUAAUGGCCCACCAAACCUGUAACCGGUACGGGCUCUGAGAGGAGGAGCCCGGAGAUGGGCACUGAGACAAGGGCCCAGGCCCUAUGGGGCGCAGCAGGCGCGAAACCUCUGCAAUAGGCGAAAGCCUGACAGGGUUACUCUGAGUGACUUUCGCUAAGAAAGUCUUUUGGCACCUCUAAAAAGGGUGCAGAAUAAGGGGUGGGCAAGUCUGGUGUCAGCCGCCGCGGUAAUACCAGCACUCCGAGUGGUCGGGACGAUUAUUGGGCCUAAAGCAUCCGUAGCCGGUUCUACAAGUCUUCCGUUAAAUCCACCUGCUUAACAGAUGGGCUGCGGAAGAUACUAUAGAGCUAGGAGGCGGGAGAGGCAAGCGGUACUCAGUGGGUAGGGGUAAAAUCCGUUGAUCCAUUGAAGACCACCAGUGGCGAAGGCGGCUUGCCAGAAUGCGCUCGACGGUGAGGGAUGAAAGCUGGGGGAGCAAACCGGAUUAGAUACCCGGGUAGUCCCAGCCGUAAACGAUGCAGACUCGGUGAUGGGUUGGCUUCGCGCUAACCCAGUGCCGCAGGGAAGCCGUUAAGUCUGCCGCCUGGGUAGUACGGUCGCAAGACUGAAACUUAAAGGAAUUGGCGGGGGAGCA
rnacentral:rRNA from 1 species